rnacentral:rRNA from 1 species
UUAAGCGACUAAGCGUACACGGUGGAUGCCCUGGCAGUCAGAGGCGAUGAAGGACGUGCUAAUCUGCGAUAAGCGUCGGUAAGGUGAUAUGAACCGUUAUAACCGGCGAUUUCCGAAUGGGGAAACCCAGUGUGAUUCGUCACACUAUCAUUAACUGAAUCCAUAGGUUAAUGAGGCGAACCGGGGGAACUGAAACAUCUAAGUACCCCGAGGAAAAGAAAUCAACCGAGAUUCCCCCAGUAGCGGCGAGCGAACGGGGAGGAGCCCAGAGCCUGAAUCAGUGUGUGUGUUAGUGGAAGCGUCUGGAAAGGCGCGCGAUACAGGGUGACAGCCCCGUACACAAAAAUGCACAUGCUGUGAGCUCGAUGAGUAGGGCGGGACACGUGGUAUCCUGUCUGAAUAUGGGGGGACCAUCCUCCAAGGCUAAAUACUCCUGACUGACCGAUAGUGAACCAGUACCGUGAGGGAAAGGCGAAAAGAACCCCGGCGAGGGGAGUGAAAAAGAACCUGAAACCGUGUACGUACAAGCAGUGGGAGCCUCUUAAUGGGGUGACUGCGUACCUUUUGUAUAAUGGGUCAGCGACUUAUAUUCUGUAGCAAGGUUAACCGAAUAGGGGAGCCGAAGGGAAACCGAGUCUUAACUGGGCGUUAAGUUGCAGGGUAUAGACCCGAAACCCGGUGAUCUAGCCAUGGGCAGGUUGAAGGUUGGGUAACACUAACUGGAGGACCGAACCGACUAAUGUUGAAAAAUUAGCGGAUGACUUGUGGCUGGGGGUGAAAGGCCAAUCAAACCGGGAGAUAGCUGGUUCUCCCCGAAAGCUAUUUAGGUAGCGCCUCGUGAAUUCAUCUCCGGGGGUAGAGCACUGUUUCGGCAAGGGGGUCAUCCCGACUUACCAACCCGAUGCAAACUGCGAAUACCGGAGAAUGUUAUCACGGGAGACACACGGCGGGUGCUAACGUCCGUCGUGAAGAGGGAAACAACCCAGACCGCCAGCUAAGGUCCCAAAGUCAUGGUUAAGUGGGAAACGAUGUGGGAAGGCCCAGACAGCCAGGAUGUUGGCUUAGAAGCAGCCAUCAUUUAAAGAAAGCGUAAUAGCUCACUGGUCGAGUCGGCCUGCGCGGAAGAUGUAACGGGGCUAAACCAUGCACCGAAGCUGCGGCAGCGACACUAUGUGUUGUUGGGUAGGGGAGCGUUCUGUAAGCCUGUGAAGGUGGCCUGUGAGGGUUGCUGGAGGUAUCAGAAGUGCGAAUGCUGACAUAAGUAACGAUAAAGCGGGUGAAAAGCCCGCUCGCCGGAAGACCAAGGGUUCCUGUCCAACGUUAAUCGGGGCAGGGUGAGUCGACCCCUAAGGCGAGGCCGAAAGGCGUAGUCGAUGGGAAACAGGUUAAUAUUCCUGUACUUGGUGUUACUGCGAAGGGGGGACGGAGAAGGCUAUGUUGGCCGGGCGACGGUUGUCCCGGUUUAAGCGUGUAGGCUGGUUUUCCAGGCAAAUCCGGAAAAUCAAGGCUGAGGCGUGAUGACGAGGCACUACGGUGCUGAAGCGACAAAUGCCCUGCUUCCAGGAAAAGCCUCUAAGCAUCAGGUAACAUUAAAUCGUACCCCAAACCGACACAGGUGGUCAGGUAGAGAAUACCAAGGCGCUUGAGAGAACUCGGGUGAAGGAACUAGGCAAAAUGGUGCCGUAACUUCGGGAGAAGGCACGCUGAUAUGUAGGUGAAGCGACUUGCUCGUGGAGCUGAAAUCAGUCGAAGAUACCAGCUGGCUGCAACUGUUUAUUAAAAACACAGCACUGUGCAAACACGAAAGUGGACGUAUACGGUGUGACGCCUGCCCGGUGCCGGAAGGUUAAUUGAUGGGGUUAGCGGCAACGCGAAGCUCUUGAUCGAAGCCCCGGUAAACGGCGGCCGUAACUAUAACGGUCCUAAGGUAGCGAAAUUCCUUGUCGGGUAAGUUCCGACCUGCACGAAUGGCGUAAUGAUGGCCAGGCUGUCUCCACCCGAGACUCAGUGAAAUUGAACUCGCUGUGAAGAUGCAGUGUACCCGCGGCAAGACGGAAAGACCCCGUGAACCUUUACUAUAGCUUGACACUGAACAUUGAGCCUUGAUGUGUAGGAUAGGUGGGAGGCUUUGAAGUGUGGACGCCAGUCUGCAUGGAGCCGACCUUGAAAUACCACCCUUUAAUGUUUGAUGUUCUAACGUGGGCCCGUAAUCCGGGUUGCGGACAGUGUCUGGUGGGUAGUUUGACUGGGGCGGUCUCCUCCUAAAGAGUAACGGAGGAGCACGAAGGUUGGCUAAUCCUGGUCGGACAUCAGGAGGUUAGUGCAAUGGCAUAAGCCAGCUUGACUGCGAGCGUGACGGCGCGAGCAGGUGCGAAAGCAGGUCAUAGUGAUCCGGUGGUUCUGAAUGGAAGGGCCAUCGCUCAACGGAUAAAAGGUACUCCGGGGAUAACAGGCUGAUACCGCCCAAGAGUUCAUAUCGACGGCGGUGUUUGGCACCUCGAUGUCGGCUCAUCACAUCCUGGGGCUGAAGUAGGUCCCAAGGGUAUGGCUGUUCGCCAUUUAAAGUGGUACGCGAGCUGGGUUUAGAACGUCGUGAGACAGUUCGGUCCCUAUCUGCCGUGGGCGCUGGAGAACUGAGGGGGGCUGCUCCUAGUACGAGAGGACCGGAGUGGACGCAUCACUGGUGUUCGGGUUGUCAUGCCAAUGGCACUGCCCGGUAGCUAAAUGCGGAAGAGAUAAGUGCUGAAAGCAUCUAAGCACGAAACUUGCCCCGAGAUGAGUUCUCCCUGACCCUUUAAGGGUCCUGAAGGAACGUUGAAGACGACGACGUUGAUAGGCCGGGUGUGUAAGCGCAGCGAUGCGUUGAGCUAACCGGUACUAAUGAACCGUGAGGCUUAACCUU